UCUUCUCUUUCCUUGUGUUUAGGGUUCACCAGGAAAAAAGGUAAGGUGGCAAUGACGGUUAAACUAGGGCAGAUUCAAAAAAAAGCAAAUUUAUAUAUAUAUAUAUAUAUUUGCUUUUUUCUUUUGCAGGGUGAUCAAGGAGAAAGAGGCCUGAAAGGAGAGAAGGUACAGUUGUGCUGAUAUGUAAAACCCCUUUAAAAAAAAACCCACAUGUAUAUUGAAAUGUAAAUUAAGUUAGUUUGCUUUCAUGUUUUCCAAGGGUGAUGGCGGAGCACCUGGAAAAUCUAUUGAGAUGAAGGUGAAUACAGGAUUUAGUGAUUCAUCUCCCGGCAUACAUGUUCUCAUUUUGUAUUAAUACGUCUUUGAGCAACAUAUUUUUUCUUCUUCUUUAGGACAUUGAAAUAAUGUUUGAAGCCUACGGCAUAAGGCUGCCCUUGCUGAAGGCUUUGAUUGACAGGCUGCUGCAGGAGGGGAUAGAGGAGCUGCUUCAUGUGCUCGUCACCGCCAAGAACACAAAAGAAAACAAAGAAACUCACACAUCUAACGUCAUCACGGAGUACACGAGUUCAGUGCAGUUCGACCUCACCAGCCAGCCGCUGUUAGAGUUGGACACCACUGAAGACCCAGAUACAGAUGAGCAGCUUCCGGAGUCAUUUUCAGUAGAGCCUCUUAAUGAAACUGCAGAGGUUCCAUCUUUAAGGACCAUCAGUGCACUGAACGAAGAGCAGGAGCUCGACAGGAUCGAGACCAAGUCAAAGGGAUCCACAGGGAUGAAGAUGAUAGACGGGGACAGUGACAAAGUGUCCUCACUGAAAAUGAAUCUGACAAAAGUCAAUUCCACUUUCAAUUAUACUACGGCCCAGGAGACGGUUUCAGGGCUAACGGAAACUGUGGUGGAGAAAGUUGUCCUCACUCAGGAGGACUCUCUGAAGAAGAAUUCAGGAAAAAAGAAGAAAAACAGGGAACGUGGGAAGGGCAAAGGAAAUAAAGGAAGACAUAAGAGGCAGAGACACCGCCUGACAAGCGAAGAGCAAGGAGAUGAAGAAGAGGAUGAGUUUUAUAACGGUGAAGAAUACGGUGAUGAAUACGAGGAAGAACUUUCCCCACAUGGUAACUUGCAGGAGAGCAGAGACGACAGAGAGGUGGAACUACUGCCCACGCACAUUCCUGCCCAGUUAGAAACAUCCUCAGACCCCUCCCGUCUUCAUCUGACUCACUUCUCAGAAAGAGAAACAGACGAACAGGCUGCGCGGACGACCACAGAUCCUCCCUAUCAACCGACGGGGGAGGUGGAGAAGGGUGAAGUGUCACUGCCCACACCUCCCAUCACAACGGAAGAACCGGACAAGGUGCCUCUAUCUCAAAUGAGGGUGAGAAGAGGCGCCCCCUGGUCUGACUCCAUGGCGUUCAUGCCAGGUGCCCCGGGCAGAAGACAUUGGUCCAAGGAGGUGCAAAAACAUCACUCCUCUGGAGCUGCAGGUUACAACAGCUUCAAUAAGAAGCAAGAAAACGCUGAUGUUCACACACACACCAGGAGGGAGAGGCAAGGAAGAAGAGACAGACAGACAUACAGUGAGACGGAGGGAGGGAUUCAUCCAGAAAUACAAGGUGGAGGAGACGAACAGACUGAAGCUGAAGGAGUUGAGGAGUGGGAGCAAGAUGGAUAUACAGGAGCAGUCCCCGAUCCGGUCUACGACGAGGAGGAGGGGAGCGGAGACUACGACUGGGAUGCCGAGGAGGAUGUGGAUCGAGAGAGGGAAGCGGAGGAGGAGUUGGAGAACCUGGAGAGGGAGAGAGAGAGGGAGAGGUUGGAGAUGGAGAGAGAGAGAGGGGAGCUGGAGAAGGAGAGGGAGGAGAUGGAGAGAGAGAGGACGGGACAGGAUGGGGAGAGAGACUUGGCCAGGGAGAGGGAGGAAUGGGAGAGGAGGAGGAUGGAGGUGGAGAGACGGAGAGAGGGGCAUUAUGAUGAAGAAACUGGACAGCCAUACCCAUACCCUCCAGAGUAUUUUUUACUGAAGGUGAGGACACAUAAAUAA
ensembl:lncRNA